CAGUUCAAAAUAUACCAUUACCAAAAUAUCUGUUCAACAGAUGUCCAAGGAACUGAGAAGAAGAAAGGAGCGAGAAGGCCUUUUAUUUUGAGGACUAUGCAAAAAUGCAGGACAACUUCCUCUUUAAAUAAGUCAAACCACUUUUGUCCCCAGGUUGUAAGGAGAAGUAUAAAGGGUGGCUGUGGGCUGAAGGCUUUUCGUACAAAUGAACAAAAUGUCACUUUGUCUCUAUUUGACAUUUUUAAUAGCAGUUCUCAGAGGUGUCCAAUCUGAGGUUCAGUUGCUGGAGUCUGGAGGGGAUGUGAGAAGACCUGGGGAGUCCCUCCGUCUCUCCUGCCAAGCCUCUGGAUUCACUUUCAGCAGCUACUGGAUGACCUGGGUGAGACAGGCUCCAGAGAAAGGAUUGGAAUAUGUGGCAAGGAUACGCUAUGAUGCUGCAUAUAUUUACUACUCAGACAAAGUGAAGGGCCGCUUCACCACCUCCAGGGACAAUGCCAAAAGCCAGCUGUAUCUGCAAAUGAGCAGCCUCAAAGCUGAAGACACAGCGGUCUAUUAUUGUGUGAGAGACACAGUGAGAGGAAGUGAAUCUGAAGCCAGACAAGAACCUUGUCUCCCUCAGAGCAGAUCUCCAAGUGGAUUCAGUGCCAGAAAGUUGAAUCUGGGUCUUUCAACUGAGGAGCAGGUGAUCGAUCUACAUCAUAGCGGUAGAAUAUUUCAUGGAUCCGUAGAAUAUUUUGAGACUUAA